CCUACGGGAGGCAGCAGUGAGGAAUAUUGGUCAAUGGACGAGAGUCUGAACCAGCCAAGUAGCGUGAAGGAUGACUGCCCUAUGGGUUGUAAACUUCUUUUAUAUGGGAAUAAAAUGUUCCACGUGUGGGAUUUUGUAUGUACCAUAUGAAUAAGGAUCGGCUAACUCCGUGCCAGCAGCCGCGGUAAUACGGAGGAUCCGAGUGUUAUCCGGAUUUAUUGGGUUUAAAGGGAGCGUAGGUGGAUUGUUAAGUCAGUUGUGAAAGUUUGCGGCUCAACCGUAAAAUUGCAGUUGAAACUGGCAGUCUUGAGUACAGUAGAGGUGGGCGGAAGUCGUGGUGUAGCGGUGAAAUGCUUAGAUAUCACGAAGAACUCCGAUUGCGAAGGCAGUUCACUGGACUGCAACUGACACUGAGGCUCGAAAGUGUGGGUAUCAAACAGGAUUAGAUACCCCAGUAGUC
rnacentral:rRNA from 1 species